AUACGGAGGAUCCGAGCGUUAUCCGGAUUUAUUGGGUUUAAAGGGCGCGUAGGUGGAUUGUUAAGUCAGUUGUGAAAGUUUGCGGCUCAACCGUAAAAUUGCAGUUGCAACUGGCAGUUUUGAGUACAGUAGAGGUGGGCGGCAUUCGUGGGGGAGCGGUGAAAUGCUUAGAUAUCACGAAGAACUCCGAUUGCGAAGGCAGCUCACUAGACUGUUACUGACACUGAUGCUCGAAAGUGUGGGUAUCAAACAGGAUUGGAUACCCUGGUAGUCCACACAGUAAACGAUGAAUACUCGCUGUUUGCGAUAUACAGUAAGCGGCCAAGCGAAAGCAUUAAGUAUUCCACCUGGGGAGUACGCCGGCAACGGUGAAACUCAAAUGAAUUGACGGGG
rnacentral:rRNA from 1 species